rnacentral:tRNA from 1 species
AGUUAUUUAUCUUUAAGGAAAGUAUGUGUUUUGAAAGCACCCCAAAAGGGUUCGAUCCCCUUAAUAACUU